AUUUUGCACAGAAUUGAGUAAAGAGCAGGGCCAUUAAAAAAGGGAGGAUCAUGCAUCUACAGCUGGAAGGGAUCUUUAAUGGUCACCUAAGCCAACUCCCUUGCUUUACAGAUGAUGAAACCAGUCCAGGAAUGUUCCCAAAGUCACAGAGAUGGCAUUAUGACAGUAUAUCUUCCCCAUUCUGAAAGAAAAGCUGGACUUUGAAUGAAAAAUAAAAAUGGAAACCCAGAAAAGAAGAAGGCCAGAUUGGAAAUCAGACAACAUAGGUCCAAUUCUCAGUUUCCCCAUAGGUUCUCAUCUAAACCAAAGCUCUGAAGUUCAUAUUUCCAUAAACAAAGAGGGAGUUUCUCAAUCUCUAUUUCAUUUCCUUGGGUUGAAUGACUUACAUUUCAUUAAUGCACCUGAGAUAAUUGGAAAGAAGCAUCCACAAUAAGUAUCUAAAUCAAAAUAAAUUUUGUGAUUGUAGA
rnacentral:lncRNA from 1 species